rnacentral:lncRNA from 1 species
CUCUGGAAACUUAAGGGAAUCAUAAUAUGCCUGAGAAAACAUAAACAAAAAUUAUCUUAAUGACAAAUAAGUGCUUCGGAAAUAAACAAAGGCCAAAAUCUGUUAGAGAUGCCUCUUUCACACUGGAGAGCUACAGGAAGCCUGAGUUUGAAAUCAUUUGGUCCAGACAGAAGAGGAGAAGCAAGGACCGAGUGUCAUGAAGAGGGAAACAUUGCCAGACUGUCAGAGGUUACCUAAUAUCCUUUGAUGGGUUUCCUCCUGUUUCCCUGAAUCUGGGAUGACUGUCCCCUUGAACUGCUCCGGUAUCUUAGCCAAUGGACAAUGUAUUGUUACUCCCCUCCUUAUCUAUUCGUGGUUUUUGCACACAUACCAUGAACUCAUAAGUGUUGAAGGAUCUCGACGUGUAAAAAUAUUUGUAAGAACAAGUUCAGUGACUAGAAAUUUGCUAGCUGGUUUGAAAUAAAGAGAUACACAUAAAACUAUAUUAUGAACUGGGAUCACCCAAAUUAUCUUCUGCAGGACAUUAUUCUACUAGAAAAUAUGGACAAAAUCAUAAGGACAAUUGUCAGUUUGAUGCUGACAAAAUUUUGUAAAAUUCCUUAUAUUAAAACCACUCUUCACUAUUAGCAGGAGACUACACAUGUU